AGAAAUGUGUGGGGACAUCGUU
rnacentral:miRNA from 1 species